UCUUAUGGAUGAGCAAAGGAAGCGGUUCCUUAAGAGGGAAUCUACCCCUGGUGAAGAUGCUGUGAA
rnacentral:pre_miRNA from 1 species